GACGAACGCUGGCGGCGUGCCUAAUACAUGCAAGUCGGGCGGAGCGGCGGACGGGUGAGUAAUGUAUGGGGAUCUGCCUGAUGGAGGGGGCUAACUACUGGAACCGGUAGCUAAUACCGCAUACCCUCCGUUGAACCCAUAUGUGAUUGGCUUGUAGGUUAGGUAACGGCUCACCAAGGCGACGAUCCCUAGCUGGUCUGAGAGGAUGAUCAGCCCAACUGGGACUGAGACACGGCCCAGACUCCUACGGGAGGCAGCAGUGGGGAAUAUUGGACAAGGGGCGAAAGCCUGACCCAGCCAUGCCGCGUGUGUGAAGAAGGUCUUCGGAUUAUAAAGCACUUUAAGUUGGGAGGCGGGAACAAAAGAAUAAGCACCGGCUAACUUCGUGCCAGCAGCCGCGGUAAUAG
rnacentral:rRNA from 1 species